AGUAGCGUGUCCGAGUGGACUAAGACGCUGGUUUUAGGCACCAGUCUCAUUGUAGAAGUGGGUUCGAAUCCCACCGCUGUCA